ACUCCCUGCUGGGGGAUGAUGGAGACACAUACAAGGGGACAGGUGCCACGAUGGGUGCCAGGCUGGGGAGCAAGGGCCAUGACAUGUGCCCUUGUAUUAUUAUAUUAUUCUAUCUGCGAGAAUACCAUGGACCUGCCCGGCCUUGAAGGGCCGCAACACAAUGAUAUUUCAUGCACAUAUAUCCAUGCCAACACACACACACUCCAUAUUUACUUGAAAUCUCUAAAAAGACUGGAAGCCUCCAUCUAUAUAUCUUUUAGGUAUUCAUAUUCAAGAUGUUUAAAUUUUUAAAGAUUAUCUGAAUUGACAAGUUAUCUUCCUAUUUUUAUAUAUCUUAAAGUGGGAUUCAAUAAAAAGUGAUGUUAAAUCUACUCCUUUAAUUCCUAACUUUACUAAUGACAAUUUUUUUCUUGCUAUUUGAAAUUGAAAAGCCAUUUUGACUUCUAUAUCUCUGUAUCCAAUGACUGCCCAAGUUCUAUAAAAUUUCCUGGCAGAGAGAACAGUUGGAGUGCAAUGGUGGAGUGCGAUUUGUUUUCUUCCCUCAUUCCUAUUGCCUCUGCCUUCAGAGUCUGCAUUAGGUGAAGUGAUGCCCUUCUCUCUGUGAGGGAACCUGUCCUCAAAAUUAACAGCGCCCCACUAAUAGACUCCAUUUAGUUUUGACUUCAUAUUCCAGAAACAGAGUCAAUUUAUAGCCAAGAGUAAAGGAGUUGUUUUAGAGCCCAAAUUCACUCUCAUGGAGUUUGCAAAAUGGCAUGUCGAAACAUUUACAAUGAUCUAAGGGACGAAUGGUGAAGUGUUUUGGCACCAGCAAGUCUGGCAUGCAGCCCUCAAGACAAGCAGCAUUUCAACCUCUGUCCUACGUGACUUUAUUAGAAGCCUUGCAAGCGAGAGAAACAGGAAAUCUGCGCAGCACUUUUAUAGCAAUGUGGUGAAUUAUAAAUUAAUGAGGGUUUCGUAUGGGGAGGGAAUAACAUCUGCAGAAGAGCGGAUUUCAUAAAGACAAAAGGGAAAAAGGUUUCCCUUAGUAAAACAUAACCUUUCUGCAUCCACAAUCAAUUCUCAAUUAGUCAUACCAGGGAGAGUCUUCACCACACACUGUCAAUACUGCCUCACUUUGCUUCCUCCCUGCUCCACUCUUCUCUGAUUCUGCUUCUUCUCACCCAAGAUGCUCCUUGAAUUAAUAUUCCCAACAAUUUCCUUCAGGCUCUUUCUGCUGUCAAAAAAUUUAGUGGACUUUUUUAUUUCCUUGGAUCCUCUAGUGCAUGGUACCGCUUUUCUUCCCACAGUUUCCUGCCCCUUGUCUGCCCGAGCCUAAUGCUUAGUCAGCAGACCACGUAAGAAGCCAAAAGAGAGCAGGAACUAAGAGGAGAAAUGAUUUCCCCAGGAAGUUUCUCAUUCCUUCUUUAUACGUCUUUAAUGAGCACACAACAAGGAAGGCAUCAGUUUGGAAGUUCAAAUAGACUACAGGGAAAUGUGUUGGAGUGAUGUUAAAAUUCAGUUUAAAAAAAAAGAAUUGUGAGUUGAGUACUUACUAUGUACAAAGCCUUUGCUAAGUACCACAGGAGAGAGAACUCCCUGACCUACAGGGGCUUACAAUCUAACUGGCAGGGAAAGUAGGUGACAAUUUUACAAAUAA